UGUUGAGUAAUUUCUCAUGCUACGACCUC
rnacentral:piRNA from 1 species